AUACGUAGGGGGCGAGCGUUGUCCGGAAUGAUUGGGCGUAAAGGGCGCGUAGGCGGCCUGUUAAGUCUGGAGUGAAAGUCCUGUUUUCAAGAUGGGAAUUGCUUUGGAUACUGAUGGGCUUGAGUGCAGGAGAGGUUAUCGGAAUUCCCGGUGUAGCGGUGAAAUGCGUAGAGAUCGGGAGGAACACCGGUGGCGAAGGCGGGUAACUGGACUGCAACUGACGCUGAGGCGCGAAAGUGUGGGGAGCAAACAGGAUUAGAUACCCUGGUAGUCCACACUGUAAACGAUGAAUACUAGGUGUCGGGUUUCUAUAGAGAUUCGGUGCCGCAGCAAACGCAAUAAGUAUUCCACCUGGGGAGUACGUUCGCAAGAAUGAAACUCAAAUGAAUUGGCGGGG
rnacentral:rRNA from 1 species